AACGAACGCUGGCGGCGCGUCUUAAACAUGCAAGUCGAACGGCACGAAGGGGCUUGCCCCUUCUGAGAGUGGCGGACUGGUGAGUAACACGUGGGUGACAUACCUUUUAGUUGGGGAUAGCUAUUAGAAAUAGUAGGUAAUACCGAAUGUGACCGUACCUGUUAGAGGGGUACGAGGAAAGGAGCUAAGGCUUCGCUAAAAGAAUGGCUCGCGGCCCAUUAUGCUCGUUGGUGAGGUAACGGCCCACCAAGGCGAUGAUGGGUAUCCGGCCUGAGAGGGUGAACGGACACAUUGGGACUGAGAUACGGCCCAGACUUCUACGGGAGGCAGCAGUUAAGAAUAUUCCGCAAUGGACGAAAGUCUGACGGAGCGACGCCGCGUGGAUGAAGAAUGCCGAAAGGUUGUAAAAUCCUUUUAAGCCUGAUGAAUAAGCACAGUAGGGAAUGAUUGUGCGGUGACCGUAGGGCUUGAAUAAGCACCGGCUAAUUACGUG
rnacentral:rRNA from 1 species